GGGCGGAUGGCGAAAUUGGCAGACGCGCCAGCCUUAGGAGCUGGUCCCGCAAGGGGUGGAGGUUCAAGUCCUCUUCCGCCCA
rnacentral:tRNA from 1 species